GUGGAAGAAAAGCUGGGUCACACUUGUGUGCCUAUGAAUAUGGGCAUUCUGAAGAGAUGAAUAAUAAGUGUGAACAGGACGAGCAAGUUUCCAGUCCUGUCAGAUUAAUUAGACCAGUGUAGAAUGAAGUGAAGUUUGCCGUUAGGUAUUGGGAGGUCAAGAGAAGGCUGUCUUCAUCCUCUAGGAGUCCAAGAUGUCAGUUUAUUCUUUUUUUAAGUUAUAUGACAGCUGGAAAGUAGUUUAAGCAAUGCCAGUUGGCUCUCAAAUG